UACGUAGGGUGCAAGCGUUGUCCGGAAUUAUUGGGCGUAAAGAGCUCGUAGGCGGUUUGUUGCGUCGGCUGUGAAAUCCCGAGGCUCAACCUCGGGUCUGCAGUCGAUACGAGCAAACUAGAGUGUUGCAGGGGAGACUGGAAUUCCUGGUGUAGCGGUGAAAUGCGCAGAUAUCAGGAGGAACACCGGUGGCGAAGGCGGGUCUCUGGGCAACAACUGACGCUGAGGGGCGAAAGCGUGGGGAGCGAACAGG
rnacentral:rRNA from 1 species